rnacentral:rRNA from 1 species
GACGAACCGAGCGACCGUUGUUCGGAAUCACUGGGCUUAAAGGGCGCGUAGGCGGGCUGUCAAGUCUGGGGUGAAAUCCCGCGGCUCAACCGCGGAACUGCCUCAGAUACUGACGGCCUCGAGGGAGAUAGGGGCGAGCGGAACUAAUGGUGGAGCGGUGAAAUGCGUUGAUAUCAUUAGGAACUCCGGUGGCGAAGGCGGCUCGCUGGAUCUUUUCUGACGCUGAGGCGCGAAAGCUAGGGGAGCAAACGGG